rnacentral:lncRNA from 1 species
AAUCAGUCCGUCAAAUGACCACGUUACCCUUAAAGAUGCAACAGUUAGCACUUAGGGAUGCUUUAGAGGUGAGUCUCCUACAAAGGGCCAUGUGGGUCCCGCUAGGUCUCAGUAUGAUGCAUAUAAGCAUGACCUAAAGGCUGACCUACGUUGUGGUUCACUAACAAGGCUGUUCGGGGGAGCGUAUGAUCGAUAGUGGCUGCUUUACUUUCCACCUACUCCAUAACGCCGACG